GACGGAGGAUGCAAGUGUUAUCCGGAAUCACUGGGCGUAAAGCGUCUGUAGGUGGUUUCAAAAGUCCACUGUUAAAGAUUGAAGCUUAACUUCAAAAAUGCCGUGGAAACUUUGAAACUUGAGUAUGAUAGGGGUAGAGGGAAUUUCCAGUGGAGCGGUGAAAUGCGUAGAUAUUGGAAAGAACACCGAUGGCGAAGGCACUUUACUGGGCUAUUACUAACACUCAGAGACGAAAGCUAGGGUAGCAA
rnacentral:rRNA from 1 species